GUAACUUACACCAAGAACAACCAAUCAGCACAAAGACAGCCAAAGCCCCGCGGAUAUGAAAACCAAUUAAAUAAAUGAAUUUGGUUGGAGAAAGGUGGGGAGAAGUCUGUUAUUGGCUGCAGUGGAAGAAAUUUUGUAUCCGGAGUGAGAUUUCAAAUCUGUAUUUAUUUAUUAUUUACAGUUAAAUUAUGUUAGUUUGUUAGACUGGUCUACCUUUGAGGCGAGUCUAAUGGACCCUCUGAGGAAAAUGUAUGGGCUGCGUUGCUACAUGUAUUUACACUGCCGGUGGAGAAGCUUCGUAGUGGGUGUAUGAUUCAGAGAGCUCAGAAGAGGGAUCCUUGAACUUUAUUGCCCAAAAAUACAGAGGAGGAUCACCAGAAAUCAUCAGCAGGUUGAUGUGUAUAUUACAAGGAAUUAGAGUAGUUGAGUGACUACUUGCUGUAAGCUACACUGGUACACAACACCGAAAUGGUGCCAGGAUAUAACCAGCUGAUUUCACUAAUUUAUUUACCCACCACUACAAUGUUAUUUCUAGUGACCUCUUUUUUAGUUAGUUACAGUUACAUGGAUAUAGCGUUUUUCUAGACACUCAAAGCACUUUACAGUGGGGGCGGAGUGCCAGGGGGAAUCUCAGCCACCACUUUGUAGCAUCUACCUGGAUGAUGCGUUAGCAGCCAUAGUGCACCAGAACGCCCACCACACAUCAGCUAUUAGUGGAGAGGAGAGUGAUGUAGCCAAUUCAGAGAUUCAGCCAAUUCAGGGAAUUUCCCCAGGACACCUAGGUAUUUUUAAUGACCACAGAGAGUCAGGACCUAGGUUUAACGUCUCAUCCGAAAGACAGUGGUGUUUUUACAGUAUAGUGUCCCGGUCACUAUGCUGGGGCAUUAGGGGCACCCACACAGACCACAGGGUGAGCACCCCCUGCUGAGCUCACUAAUACCACUUCCAGCAGCAACCUUAGUUUUAGCAACCUUAGCCAGGCUCAACCCUGCUUAGCUUCAGUGGGAAAACCAGGCGAGAUCUGCAGGGUGAUAUGGCUCCAGGUAAGCAACCCAGUCAUCCACAUAAUGUAAAAGAAAACAUGACUCAUCAGACCUUCCUUCCAUUGCUCCAUGGUCUGGUUCGGAUGCUCACAUGCCCAUUGUAGGUACGUUGGUGGUGGACAGUGGUCAGCAUGGGUACUCUGACCGAUCUGCAGGUACGUAGCCCCAUACACAGCAAGCUGCAAUGCACUGUGUGUUCUACCAUAGUCAGCAUUAUCAAUUUGUGCUACAGUAGCUCUUCUGUGGGACCGGACCAGACCAGAUGGGCUAGCCUUUCCUCCCCACAUGCAUCAAUGAGCCAUGCACACCAAUGACCCUGUCACCAGUUCACUGGUUGUCUUUCCUUGGACCACGUUUGAUAGAUACUAACCACUGCAUACCAGGAACACCCCACAAGACCUGAUGUUUUGGAAAUGCUCUGACUUAGUCAUCUAGCCAUCACAGUUUGGCCUAGUCAAAGUCUCUCAGAUCCUUACGCAAUUUUCCUGCUUCUAACACAUCAAAUUUGAGUAAGGACUGUUCACUUGCUGCCUAAGAUAUCCCACCCAUUGACAGGUGGGACAGCCAUUGUAACAAAACAAUCAAUGUUAUUCACUUCACCUGUCAGUGAUUUAAAUUAUAUGGCUGAUCUGUGUAUUUAUAUAUUAAUAAUGUGUAUUCAGUACAGUGCAAGGAGUAAAAAAAGAUUUUUUUGGUGUGUACUUAUAAAAAAGUAGUCAAAGCAUAUGUAAUUUUUUCUACCCCAUAUUCUUUUAGGUCAACUUCCUGUUUGAUGCCAACCACUUUAAUUAUAUGAUGCUACAUGAAAUAAGUCAUGUUAGUUC